GUGGGGAAUUUUGGACAAUGGGCGCAAGCCUGAUCCAGCAAUGCCGCGUGCAGGAUGAAGGCCUUCGGGUUGUAAACUGCUUUUGUACGGAACGAAAAGCCCUGGGUUAAUACCCUGGGGUCAUGACGGUACCGUAAGAAUAAGCACCGGCUAACUACGUGCCAGCAGCCGCGGUAAUACGUAGGGUGCAAGCGUUAAUCGGAAUUACUGGGCGUAAAGCGUGCGCAGGCGGUUUUGUAAGACAGUGGUGAAAUCCCCGGGCUCAACCUGGGAACUGCCAUUGUGACUGCAAGGCUAGAGUGCGGCAGAGGGGGAUGGAAUUCCGCGUGUAGCAGUGAAAUGCGUAGAUAUGCGGAGGAACACCGAUGGCGAAGGCAAUCCCCUGGGCCUGCACUGACGCUCAUGCACGAAAGCGUGGGGAGCAAACAGGAUUAGAUACCCUGGUAGUCC
rnacentral:rRNA from 1 species